GGAACUAUGGUCUAACGGUUAAGAUGGUUCACUGUCUAUGAAUUGAUAGAGGUUCGAUUCCCCUUAGUUCCGCCA
rnacentral:tRNA from 1 species